rnacentral:rRNA from 1 species
UACGAAGGGGGCUAGCGUUGUUCGGAAUUACUGGGCGUAAAGCGCACGUAGGCGGAAUGUUAAGUCAGGGGUGAAAUCCCGGGGCUCAACCCCGGAACUGCCUUUGAUACUGGCAUUCUCGAGUCCGGAAGAGGUGAGUGGAAUUCCGAGUGUAGAGGUGAAAUUCGUAGAUAUCUGGAGGAACACCGGUGGCGAAGGCGGCAUCCUGGACCGGCAUUGACGCUGAGGCGCGAAAGCCAGGGGAGCAAACGGG